rnacentral:misc_RNA from 1 species
AAGUCGUAACAAGGUCUCCGUAGGUGAACCUGCGGAAGGAUCAUUAACACGUUAUCCAUACGUUAACCAAUGAGAAUCGUUUUCACCCUCCCUUCGCGUAGAAUGAGCGGAAUUGAUAGAGGCAUUGAAAGGGACUAUUUCGGUAGUCAGUUUCUAUCAACCAUUAUUGUAAAUUGAAAAAUUUACAGUGACGCUGAAUCUAUUGCGGAGAUUCGUCUCGGACAGUGCUCCCCUUUCAUUGAGCGCUCGAUGGGAUAACUUAUUAACUUAUUUCACCUUUUUGCUAGUUGACUUUUAUAUGUUGUUCUUUGCGCUUGCGUAAGGUUCACACGUUUAAUUAUUUGAACGUUAAAAAUACAACUCUUAGCAAUGGAUAUCUUGGUUCUC